rnacentral:rRNA from 1 species
GAUGAACGCUGGCGGCGUGCUUAACACAUGCAAGUCGAACGAUGAAGCCCAGCUUGCUGGGUGGAUUAGUGGCGAACGGGUGAGUAACACGUGAGUAACCUGCCCUUAACUCUGGGAUAAGCCUGGGAAACUGGGUCUAAUACCGGAUAGGAGCGUCCACCGCAUGGUGGGUGUUGGAAAGAUUUAUCGGUUUUGGAUGGACUCGCGGCCUAUCAGCUUGUUGGUGAGGUAAUGGCUCACCAAGGCGACGACGGGUAGCCGGCCUGAGAGGGUGACCGGCCACACUGGGACUGAGAAACGGCCCAGACUCCUACGGGAGGCAGCAGUGGGGAAUAUUGCAAAAUGGGCGGAAGCAUGAUGCAGCGACGCCGCGUGAGGGAUGACGGCCUUCGGGUUGUAAACCUCUUUCAGUAGGGAAGAAGCGAAAGUGACGGUACCUGCAGAAGAAGCACCGGCUAACUACGUG